rnacentral:siRNA from 1 species
CUCCAAGUGGGCCAUUUUUGG